rnacentral:tRNA from 1 species
AGGAAUGUGGCUCAAUUGGUAGAGCACCUGCCCAGCAUUCACAAAGCCCUGGGUUCCAUUCCCAGCAUCUCAU